GCAUAAUAUGUUUCAAUUAUCAACAAAUGUAAAAUGAAUUAUAUUUUAUGAUAAUAUAAAAUGUUCCUACUGCAAAUGCUUUAUAACUUUAAAAUGCAAACUACCUAGAAAAAAAUGUAGAGCUGUAGAAUUUUUAAAAAUUAAAUGUAGCAUGAAUUAUGUAGCCCAAGUGGAAUACAGAGAUAGUCUCCUUUAUUCUCCCAUUAGAAACUCACAUCAUAUAUAGUAUUUCAGAUUGAGAUGAUAGUAAAGUAUAAUAUUUGCUAUUUAUCGUUAUAAUUUACAAAUUAAACAACAUAAUAUUAUUAGGGGAAAAUUGGACAACCAUGGCUUUUUCCUUUUCCAGAUAACUUCUGCCAGCCAACAGCCAAUUCCAAUGGAUCAUUUAAACAGUCUAUGACUACUUUACGUUCUUAGAACCCUGUCCAGCUCUGCAGUCUGGCAAAAUACGUUAUUUCCCCAGUGAUAUCAAACUGGGAGAACGACUGGAAAGGUUUUGCAACAGGGCCAAGAUCUCACGGUAUUCCUCUCUUUAACUGGGGUCUAGGAGAAACCCAGAUUUCCCUCAACAGAUAAUCAUUGUAACUAUCAAUGGCACGCCCGGAAGCUAUGCUGUCAUUCUGAAUAGAUCUGUUUGACUUAUCACUUAAAAGUAAGUGUUUUCACACAUGAAAACAGAAAUUCAGAUUUUAAUUAACCCAGUGAAUUUGCCUGAAAAUAUGCUUCCUGGAACACAGCUAAGUCGUGCUUAUGAUAAAGAUGUGGCUGGAAAGGGAGAUGUCUGCCGUUUUCUGAAUAAAACAAAAGAUUUUGUCAUCGAUGCAAGUUCUGGUGUCAUCACUGCUACCAAAAUUUUUAAUUAUGAAACAGAUCCAAUAAGGUUUCUUCUGAUAGUUGAUACUAGGCUGUCUAGACAUGUUUUGACCAUUAAUAUUAUUGAUGUUCCUGAAUCUCCAAACUGUACUGCUGAUCCCAAAUUUUCUUCAGGUACAGCUACCUUAGAAAUUGAUGAGAACUAUCCAUUAUUUCAGUUCAUUUAUAGAGUGACGGCCACAGAUGAGGACUUCGCAAAUGGUGAUUGGCUGAAUUACACCAUUGAGACACAGUUAUCUGGACCAAAGAAAGGAGCAAACUCUUUUGGAGUGGAUCCUGUAAGUGGUGUUGUUAGUGUAAGAGGUGAAGAUCCCCUGGAUUUUGAUGCUGGAUAUCAUGUAAUUAAAAUGUGUAUUUAUUUUUCCAUGCAGAAUGAAACAGGAUUUGUAUCACUUUGAGUUCUUCAUGAAAAAUUAGACACCUUGUUAUUUUGAAGGAAGAUUAAUAUUUUGUGUCAUUCAUUUGUGAGGAUUUCUGCAGUUAACCAAAAGCCUACAUUCAAUCUUUAUGGUUACUGGAAAUAUAGAGAUUAUGUCUUAACAUUUUAGUUCUACCAAAAAAAGUUUAUGAAAAAAACAAUUAAGUGUCAUUUUAAUCCGGGAAAACCAAAUCAGUAAAUCAUUACAAUGUAAAUCUUUCUGAACAUCAAAGAAAUGAAAGAAACUUAAAUCAGUCAAGUUUUCAUGUUGAAACUAUUAUGAUUCAUAUACCCUACCCCAUUUAGAGUGUUAACUCACUUAAGUAGCCAAGGUAAGGUUGGGCAUAAACCUUAUAGGUGAAUUUGAAACUAACAUGGUAAGAAAGAAUAGUAUAUGGUAUUUACAUGAGAAAUAUAAUUUAAGGAAAAUAUUCAGGAAUGAUUUUUCUGAGUGGAAAAUGAAUGAUAUGUAAGUAUGAACAUCUGACUGGAAAGAAACCAGCUACUGGAGAUAGUCUGUCCACAUGGAAAUGAAGUGGGUAGUUCGAUAAAUAAAGGUUGGUAUUAUUGUGAUCAUAAAAUAAUGUUUUACAACACUGUAAAAAAAAUUUCUAUUUUCAGAAGUGUCUUCAAAUUUACUAUUUCUAUUGAAAUAGUAAAUUGAGAAAAUAGGUAAUUGAGAAAAUAGGAAGAAGGGAAAAAUGCGAGAGAUUAGAGUAAAAAUAGAGAAUUUGCUGCUGAUAAGAUAAUUUGAGGGAAGAGUUAAUAGUUAAAAAUCUUAACUUUCUGGCCUGAAAGAACAUAAGAAAGUCAAUGAAUUCUAUUUAAAUUUCAAUUUGAUGUGUUGUAUGUCAGAGGAUGGUGGAGAGGUCAAUGAUACAUACCUUUUAAGCAGCUUGAGUAUUAGGACUACAAUAUGAGAUAGGUUAGAUGGAAGAUAAAUGGACAUCAUGCAUAUAAACCGUUCAGCUCCACAUCUCUGAUUCUUUCUGGGCCUCUUCACUUCCUACCUUGACCAACAUUCAACCUAUCUCCUACUAAGUCCUUUAAGAUCACUUUCAUCUUUCCACUGCAUAACUCAUCGAUUCAUUAUAUGACAUCUGACAUGUAAUUACCUAUCCAAGGGACUGAAGUUUGGUACAAUCAUUGUCAGCCCUUUCCUCAGCAUGGAGUCUUAUACACUGUAGAGUUUUAUUGAAUAUCUGCUCAAAAAGGGUUUUUAGUGGAUACUUACUGCCUCAGUGGUGUUUGGUUUUUGUUUUUGUUUUCAAAAGGGCAUUUCCUGAUAUGAGUAAAUGGUUUCUAAGGGGUGAGAUGGGUGACAGGCUGAGGAGAAGAAUAUUCAAUGUUUGAUGACAUUCUCAACUGUUCAGAAAUUCCUUGUGUCAUAGAUCCCAAAGAGUAGCCCAUCUUCCUAUUUCUGGGGUUUAGCAUCAAACAGCUUGCUUUGUCAAUAGUUUCGGUGCACUGGAUGAGGCAUAUAACCAAGCUACACAGACUUUUGAGUGAAAUUUAAUGGCAUAUGAAAUGAAGCAACUUAUAAUGAAUCUAAGAAAGAUAAGUAAAUGCAAGUAAGAAAUCGCUUGUAUUUCUUUUAGCUAAUGAGAAGAAAAAUAAGAAUCUAGUUGGAGAAAACAAAACAAAAACCUAACAGGAUGCAUAUUGUGAAACUAUAUAUGUAUUACAAAGUAGCAUUUUGUAAAGUUUUAAAAAACUCUUUUCCAGGUUUUCCACCUUGUACUGAAAGCAACAGAUACAACAUGUCUGUUCUGUCAAGGAACACUAAUUAUCUUGAUUGAAACAUAAAUGAUGAGAAGCCUCAAUUUGAGUAAGCAUAUUUAUUUCAAGGUAUAUAUAUAGGAGAAUGGUUAAAAUAAACUUUUCACAUAUACAGUCGGCCCGUGGUGUCUGUGGGGCAUGCAUUCCAGGACUCCCCUGAAUACCAAAAGCUAUCGAUGCUCAAGAAUCUUUUAUAAUGUUGUAUUAUUUUCUUUUUCUUUUCUUUUUUUUUUUUUUUUUAAAGACAGUCUCACUCUGUCGCCCAGGCUGGAGUGCAGUGACGCAAUCUUGGCUUACUGCAACCUCCACCUCCUGGGUUUAAGCAAUUGCCUCAGCCUCCUGAGUGGAGUAGCUGGGACUACAGGUGUGCGCCACCACGCCCGGCUAAUUUUUGUAUUUUUAGUAGAGCUGGGGUUUCACCAUGUUGGCCAGGCUGGUCUUGAACUCCUGACUUCAAAUGAUCCAAUCCACCCACCUCGGCCUCCCAAAGUGCUGGGAUUAUAGGUGUGA
ensembl:lincRNA